AUGAACGCUGACAGAAUGCUUAACACCUGCAAGUCGAUGGGGAAGUGGUGCUUGCACCAUGGUAACCAUGGCGGACGGGUGAGUAACGCGUAAGGAACUUACCUGCGGGACCGGGAUAACAGCAGGAAACUGCUGACAAGACCGGAUAAGGUCAUUAAGCUGCAUAGCUUAGUGAUGAAAGGAGACGCCUGCGGAGAGCCUUGCGUCCUAUUAGCUAGUUGGAGGGGUAACGGCCCACCAAGGCGAAGAUAGGUAGCCGGCCUGAGAGGGUGGACGGCCACAAGGGGACUGAGAUACGGCCCUUACUCCUACGGGAGGCAGCAGUGGGGAAUAUUGGACAAUGGGGGCAACCCUGAUCCAGCAAUUCUGUGUGCACGAAGACGGUUUUCGGAGUGUAAAGUGCUUUCAGCAGGGAAGAAGGAAGUGACGGUACCUGCAGAAGAAGCGACGGCUAAAUACGUG
rnacentral:rRNA from 1 species